UACGAAGGGGGCUAGCGUUGUUCGGAAUUACUGGGCGUAAAGCGCACGUAGGCGGAUAUUUAAGUCAGGGGUGAAAUCCCAGAGCUCAACUCUGGAACUGCCUUUGAUACUGGGUAUCUCGAGUAUGGAAGAGGUGAGUGGAAUUCCGAGUGUAGAGGUGAAAUUCGUAGAUAUUCGGAGGAACACCAGUGGCGAAGGCGACUCACUGGACACGUAUUGACGCUGAGGUGCGAAAGCGUGGGGAGCAAACAGG
rnacentral:rRNA from 1 species